UAAAAGGCCUGCUGGGAGAGGCAGGAUUCCUUUUUGUGCGUGGAGCAGCAUCGUCGGGGGCGUCCGAACCGUCUUCCACGUUCAGUCUGAAAACUGCAAUACGGUUUUCUUUGAGUUUUCUGUGUCACAUUUUCUUUAUUGCCUGAACCCUGUAAAUUAUUUCCCCCGUCUCUCGUGACCAGGUACAGCAGGCCUGAAGGGCACGGCGGAAUGGGGAUGUUGGACGCAGCCGCCUCAAUGGCCAAGCAACAGAAUUGCCAUUCAUUUUAAUUGCAUUGAGGCCUCAGUUUUGUCCUCUUAAAGGCAGCAAAAAAGGCAGCAAAAAGGUCUCAGACCUAGAAAAUGGUUUUUGAUAUGGCAUGUUAUCACACAGAUGAUCCCAAAUAUUACAGUAACCAUUUCUGAAGGUGACAGAUGCAGAAAGACCUUCAUGGAUAACAACCAUUGUGUCCUAGAAGAAGGAAUAUGCAUCCUUGAGACAAAAAGUCCAUUUAUUCAACAUUUACUAUGAAAUACAGUUUUUGAAAUACACCACCUGCCAUGGGUGUGAGAUAGCAGAAAAGGAAGAGGUUGAAGAACUUGCAGACAAGACAAAAACCAAGGCUGUUGUGUUGGGCAUUGGGCACUGGGCAGGCUCCCCAGGGAAUGGUUGCAGCUGCCAGAACUCCAGGAGUGUUCAGACAGCGCUCCCAGGCAGAGGAUGGGAUUGCUAGGAUGUCUCUGUGGGGCCAGGAGUUGGACUCCAUGAUCCUGAUGUGUCUCUCCCAGCUAAGGAGAUUCUGUGAUUCUGUGUGCACUAGAGCUGCUGAGCAUGAUGCUAAAUGUAGUAGAGGUUCCCUGUUUUCUAGCCUGCCAGGCAGGGUUGUGGGGUUGCUCCUGGUUGACUUGCUAAAUAGUAGGUCUGCACCAUAUAGGUUUUACAGAGGAAGGAAAACUGAGAUGUGAAGAAAAGCAGAGUUCAUGUUCAACUGCCUGUGGCAAACGUUACACAAGAAAGAUUUCUGAAACGGGACAGUAAACUAGGAAGUUGUCCUGAGAAAAGAAAUCCAAAUCACAGUUCAUAGCUUAAACAAAUCUGGUAAGUGCGGUGUCUGUAAAAGGUUCGUGGUCUCUAUCCAAACUUUAAGAUAAAGAGCAGUGGUACAAAAGAAAAAAGAAAAAAUAAGCGUUGCAGAGACAAGAGAACUUAGAACAGAUGAAGCCCUAACUGACAGUGAGAAACAUGGCAUAACUUUUAUAGAAAUAAAAUAUUUAUCUAUCUAUCUAUCUAUCUAUCGGCUUUACAAUGCAGGCACUUUGAGCAUAGGAAUUUUUUUCAGGCAAGGUUAAAAUAACAGCUUUUAAAUGUUUUGAUAUGGGAAAUUAACAUAAAACCUAAUUUUGAUAUGGGAAACUUUGAAAUUGAAAGACUUUUUAACUUUAUUAAAAUCAAAGAAAAAUAAUUUUGGCCCAUAUGGAUCCCAGUUGUACAAGAUAAAACACUGUGGUGCACACCCCUCUUAAAAAGGUUUCCCUCUUGUUGUUUUACCUUAUAAAUCUAUGGUUCUUUUUUAAUAUCCAUCUAAAAUUCUUGUCCAGUGUUCCUGAGAAUUAUUUCUUUAAGCAUAAAUAUAUUUACUUUAUCCUGUUACCAGUUUAUUUUAAUCAAGACGCUUCUAUGUGCCUUCUGACUCACAUCUGUUCUUGCUUUCAAACAGUGUAAAGUAAAAGGCAAUUAAACCACAUUAACAGAUUAAUUUUGUAAGUGUUACUAUACCUCAGGUAGAUGGACUAAGUGUAUCUGUAUCUUCUUUUGAAAUUUCAGCUUUUGGCUAAACUUAUAUUUUGUAAACAAAAAGAAUGUGUGCUUAAAAUUACAGAAAUUAUUAGAAUUGUUAAAAAUCAUUCAAUUAUGUUUUAUAAGCAUUCUUUUUUUUCUCCUAUAAUUUUUCCUAUAGUUACUAUUCCUGGAAUUCUAAUACUAUAGAAAGUGUCAAUGUUUUAAAAUCUUUCUUUACUUCUUUUCUUCUUCCCAUGUUCCAAGUUAGGAAGAAGACUAAAGGUCUAUGAGGCACAAAAUUGCACUUCUAGUACUGUUUCAUUCACCAGAGAGCUCUUACUGCUUAUUUUAAAUAACACUGAUCAAAAUCCUUCUGAUGGUUUGUUUUCUCAGAAUACUGAUAUGCUCUUUCAUUCAUUUCUGUGGAAUAACCAGUCUUCUAAAUAGAGACACAUAAAGUUAAAACAAUACUCAGAACCUCAGAAGACAUCUGAAACAACUACCUUUUCCCUUUCCAAUAGCUUUUAUAUUUAAAAAGAAAAAUCUAAAUAUUUGUAUACCUUGUGAACAAGUAUCUUAAUAAAUAGGAAGUA